rnacentral:lncRNA from 1 species
UUAUCCUCACACAAGAGAAUAUCAAUCAACCAUUAUUGGAUGAACACAUUCUUUACCCUCAGUUGUCAUAGAGAAAAAUUGCUCUUCCAAUCAUAUCAGUUGAUCUCUAUCUUAAUUGAGCCUAUCUUCUCUAUCUUCUUUAAUUUUGAUCAACACUGUUACAAUCUGGACAAUCAUAUGCUCUAAUACCACUUGUUGGGAGGAUCUCUCUCAAGAGUGUGAAAUACGGAUGCCCCACCCA